rnacentral:rRNA from 1 species
GACGGAGGAGGCAAGCGUUAUCCGGAAUUAUUGGGCGUAAAGCGUCCGUAGGCGGUUAUUCAAGUCUUUUGUUAAAUAGUGGAGCUCAACUCCAUAGAGGCGGAAGAAACUGAGUAACUUGAGUGCGGUAGGGGUAGAGGGAAUUCCAGGUGUAGCGGUGAAAUGCGUAGAGAUCGGAAGGAACGCCGGUGGCGAAAGCGGCGUGCUGGACCUCUGCUGACGCUGAGGCGCGAAAGCCAGGGGAGCAAACGGG